rnacentral:lncRNA from 1 species
UGCCUACGUUUGAAUCUCCUUAUGGUUUUGUCUGUUUUUUUUAUCAAAUUUUGAAUUCACAGAUGCUCUAUUAUUUUGUCAAAACAGUAAUUUCGAUGUUUCUAAUGCUCAGGGUGAGAAAUUGACUUUAAUUGUAUAUCUGAAUCCUAUUUGGUACUCUCGCCCAAGGUGACACUUGCUGUCACAAGUAAUAUUUUUCACAAUUACAUGUUUGCAAAUUCAUUCCUG